rnacentral:rRNA from 1 species
AUUGAACGCUGGCGGAAUGCUUUACACAUGCAAGUCGAACGGUAGAGGGGGCAACCUCUCGAGAGUGGCGAACGGGUGAGUAAUAUAUCGGAACGUGCCCAGUCGGUGGGGGAUAACGUAGCGAAAGUUACGCUAAUACCGCAUACGAUCUACGGAUGAAAGCGGGGGAUCGCAAGACCUCGCGCGAUUGGAGCGGCCGAUAUCAGAUUAGGUAGUUGGUGGGGUAAAGGCUCACCAAGCCAACGAUCUGUAGCUGGUCUGAGAGGACGACCAGCCACACUGGAACUGAGACACGGUCCAGACUCCUACGGGAGGCAGCAGUGGGGAAUUUUGGACAAUGGACGCAAGUCUGAUCCAGCCAUUCCGCGUGCAGGAUGAAGGCCCUCGGGUUGUAAACUGCUUUUGUACGGAACGAAAAGGUUUCUAUUAAUACUAGGAGCUCAUGACGGUACCGUAAGAAUAAGCACCGGCUAACUACGUG